GGACUACCCGGGUAUCUAAUCCUGUUUGAUACCCACACUUUCGUGCUUCAGUGUCAGAGCCGGUACGGUAUGCUGCCUACGCUAUCGGUGUUCUUCGUGAUAUCUAUGCAUUUCACCGCUACACCACGAAUUCCGCAUACCCCCGCCGGUCUCAAGUCUGACAGUUUCAACGGCAAGCUUAUCGUUAAGCGACAAGUUUUCACCGCUGACUUACCAAACAACCUACGCACCCUUUAAACCCAAUAAAUCCGGAUAACGCUCGCAUCCUCCGUAUUACCGCGGCUGCUGGCAC
rnacentral:rRNA from 1 species